rnacentral:lncRNA from 1 species
UUUUUCUUUUCCACUUAGAGAAGUCCCUUUAACAUUUUUUGUAAAGUUGGUUUGAUGGUGAACUCUUUUAGCUUUUGCUGGUCUAUAAAACUUUUUAAUCUCACCUUAAAAUCUGAAUUUUUUUUUCCUUUCAUCACUUUGAAUAUAUUGUCACUCCCUUCUGGUGUACAAAGUUUCUGCUGAAAAGUCAGCUGAUUGUCUUAUGGAAGUUCCUUUGUACGUAACUAGUUAUUUUUGCUCUUGCUUUUAAAAUUCUCUUUAUCUUUAAUUCUUACAAUUUUACUUAUAAUGUGUCUUGAUGUGGACCUCUUUAGGUUCAUCUUGUUUGAGAUUCUCUGUGCUUCCUGGUAGUGAAUGUAUGUUUCCUCGUCCAGGUUAAGGAUGUUUGCAACUACUAUUUCUUCGAAUAAAUUCUGUCCCUUUCUUUCUCUCUUCCCCUUCUGGAAACUUAUGCUGGUUGUUAUCCCAGAGGUCUCUUAAAUGAUCCUCAUCUUUUUAAUUUUUUCUCCUAUUUAACAUGUUUGAUUUUCACCACUGUCUCCCAGAUUGCUGAUCCAUUUCUCUGAAUCAUCUAAGCCACUGUUUCUUUCUUCUAGUGUAGUUUUUAUUUCAGUAAUUGUAUUCUUAGGCUCUUUGCUCUUUUUAUGUUUUAUAACUCUUUGUUGAAAUUCUUACAUCCAUUCUUCUCCCAAGUUAAGAGAUCAACUCUCUGAACGUUAUCUUGAACUACUUCACAGUAUAUUUGCUUAUCUCCACUUUGUUUAGUUCAUUUUUUGCCUUGUUCCUUUAUUUGGCACAUAUUCCUCUGUCUUCUUAUUUUCCCUAAUUUCUCUGUGUCUACUUCUAUGUACUAGGAAGGUCAGUUACACCUCCUGAUCUUGGAAAAGUUUCCUUAUGUAGGAAACAUCUUAUGGGGCUCAGCAGCACCACCAGAGCCACAUGCUCCAAGGGUUCCCCCUAUGAUAUGCAUGCUGCCUUCAGCUAUAGUGGGGCUGAUUUCUGUGGGCACACUGAUAAGAAUGGAUGCCCCCCAGACUCCCCCCACUCCAGCCUGAUUGAUUGCAAAGCCUUACUGCAUGCCCUGGCUGUGAGCCCCCUGGAAGGUAGUGUAGGCUUCCUGUGAGAUUGUCUGUGCAGCCCAGUUGCACACAGCUGCUGCAACCUUGCUAAUGGGUGCAAAAGAGUUCCCACUCAGCUGGUCAUAUGCCUGGUGACACAGCUGGUGUAGGACCAAUGGUGGGUUUGGCCAGCUCCCUGUACAAGAAACCACAAGGCCCAGAGGCACCUAGCUGCUAUGAGGCCACAGGUGAGUGGGGCCAGUCCCCUGUGCAGUUGUUAAUAUAGACAGGCAGCACAUGGCUGCUGCAGACUCACUGGUGGGUAAGGCAAGCUCCCUGACACUAAUAGGCCACAGAGAGAAUCCAAUUGGCAUUUGCCAACACUAGAGUCAUCACAAUAGAAUAAGCUCCUACAAAUGGAUGCCGCCAGGAACUUCAGCUUCAGGGGGAGUCCCAGUUGCCUCCUGAUUCUCCAAGAUACUCUCCAAGAUCAGAAAAUGGGUCUGACCUCAUGUUCUUUUCAAACUACUACCUCUGCACUGGGACAGAGUACAUCUGAGAUUUUGAGUGCACUCUUUAAGAGUGCAAUUUGUUUCCUAUAUCCCUCCAGCUUCCACAAUUAUAAGCCCUGUUGGUUUUCAAAGUCAAACAUCCUAGGGGCUCAUGUUCCUGGCAACACCCCCAGUCUAGGGAGCCCAAUAUUUAUCUUAGAAUCCUUACUCCUUAGGGAAGACCUCUAAAGAUGUGUGGGUCACCGACCUGUUGGUGUGGAUCCUAACUAUACUAUGUCUCUGCCCCUCCUACCUGCUACAUUGUGGUUCCUUCUUUUUAUCUUUAGUUUUAGAAAAUCUUUUCUUCUCAUCUUCAGGUAUUUUCAUAGAUAGUUGCUCUGUAAAUAGUUGUAAUUUUGGUGUGCCCAUACAAGGAUGUGAGUUCAUAGUUUUCCUACUUUGUCACCUUGGGCUGACUCUCCAUAAACAGUGAAUCUCAACUUGUCCUCCAAAGUGUAGUUACCAUGGAUAGCAAACAUUUGGCUGUAACUUCCCUUUUCUGGCACACAGAAGAUAUUGCUAAUCAAUUACAGUGCUCCUACAUACUGCACAAAAGCAGCCCAGAAGCUUUUUCAAAACACUGCCAAGAAACCACUAUAAUCUGUAAAUAUUGGCACAGGAAUAUAACCACAUUUGUAGUCUCUGGUAUAUAAAAGUUAUUACAAUUUUAAAUUUAUAUUAUCAGUGCAGUUGUGAAAAUCCCAAGUUAGGAGUUCUCAGUUUAAAUGGACUAAAUAUUGGAAUAAACAUUCCAUUUUCCUUUGGUAAUCUUAGGCAAAGCACUUAUAUCCAUUUGAAAUAUAUAAAGUAAUAAGUAGUCAUCCAUAAGCUGCACAAGGAUUCCAUGUCCCACUUUACAAGUUGUACAAAAUGCUAACCCAGUAACUGGAGAAUUGGUAGAAAAGAUGAUAGAUUUUUUUAAAACAAAUAGUGGUUAUUAUUAUUAUUAUGUUUGUAUUAAAAUUAUGAAAUAUAUUUAACAGGCACCUUAUCAACUGUGUUAGUGACUAUGAAACUAAGGUUCAUCUUAUCUUGCAAAGCAAAGUCCAAACACCUUAAAAUGAUCAAGACCUUUUGCAAUCUGUUCCCAAGUCUUCAGUCACAUUUUCCCUUACCUUCUACCAUGUGCCCAUGAGCACAUAUGUUACAUAAUAGCCACACUGGACUGUUCUCAAGCAUAGUAUUUUUUUUUAUAUCCCAGAUAUUUGAAAGUCAUUCCUACUGCCUUCAAUGCCCUUCCUUCUGUUGCUUUAUAAUUCCUACCUAUUUGUCAAGACCCAGGCAAAAAUUACCUCCUUUGAAGCCUUCUCUGAACUUGGACAUGUCAAUCAUUCUCACUUCUGUGUUCUUAGAGCACUUUGUACAGACCUAUGUUACUUUCAUUGGGUCAUGACACUAUUUGUAAUUUGCCAUAAACUAUGUAUAUAUGAUCCUCAAAGACAGGAAACACUGAUAUUUUCACGUUUAUGUCCCAUUUUUUUAAUAGUACUUAUACAAAAUAGAAACUCUACAAGUAUAGUUUGAAUGAAUAAAUGAACAUUUGAAUAAAUUAUACACUAAUCUAAAAUGAAAUCAGGUUAUAAUCAAGAGCCUUUCAUGGAUCCACACUAGUCUCCAUGCUCUAUUAUCAAAUUCUUAACGUGCUUUUUUUUUUUUUUUUUUUUUGUCUUUUUGACUUUUUCUAGGGCCACACCUGUGGCAUAUGGAGGUUCCCAGGCUAGGGGUCCAAUCAGAGCUGUAGCCGCUGGCCUAUGCCACAGCCACAUGGAAAUGAACCUGACUAGUUUCCAUGAGGACACAAGUUCGAUCCCUGGUCUCAAUCAGUGGGUUGAGGAUACAGCAUUGCUGUGAGCUGUGAUACAGGUCACAGAUGUGGCUCGGAUCCUACAUUGCUGUGGCUACGGCACAGGCCAGUGACUGCAGCUCCAAUUCAAACCUUAUGCCACCGAUGUGGCCCUAAACAGCAAAAAAAAAAAAAAAAAAAAAAAAAAAAAA